AGAGGCUUAGGUUAACUCAGACCAAGGACCUUCAAAGUCCUAAGUAAAUAAUAAUUAUUUAGCCUCUG
rnacentral:tRNA from 1 species